AGUAAGUUGGGUAAUCGCGUGUAUAUUCAUUAUACCCGAGGAAAGUCCGGGCUUCAUAGAGCAAGAGUGCCAGAUAACGUCUGGUGGAGGCGACUUUAAGGAUAGUGCAACAGAAAUAAACCGCCUAAUUUUAUUAGGCAAGGAUGGAAAGGUGAGGUAAGAGCUCACCGCCUUUUUGGCAACAAAAAGGGCUCUGUAAACCCCACUCGAAGCAAGAUAUAAGAAACGUUCAAGUUGCUCGCUAAGUUUCUUAAUUUAGAUCGCUUGAGCAUUACGGCGACGUAAUGCCUAGAUAGAUGAUUACCCACGACAGGAUCCGGCUUAUAGACUUGCUUA
rnacentral:RNase_P_RNA from 1 species